GACGAACGCUGGCGGCGUGCCUAAUACAUGCAAGUUGAGCGCUGAAGGUUGGUACUUGUACCGACUGGAUGAGCAGCGAACGGGUGAGUAACGCGUGGGGAAUCUGCCUUUGAGCGGGGGACAACAUUUGGAAACGAAUGCUAAUACCGCAUAACAACUUUAAACACAAGUUUUAAGUUUGAAAGAUGCAAUUGCAUCACUCAAAGAUGAUCCCGCGUUGUAUUAGCUAGAUGGUGAGGUAAAGGCUCACCAAGGCGAUGAUACAUAGCCGACAUGAGAGGGUGAUCGGCCACAAUGGGACUGAGACACGGCCCAAACGCCUACGGGAGGCAGCAGUAGGGAAUCUUCGGCAAUGGAGGAAAGUCUAACCGAGCAACGCCGCGUGAGUGAAGAAGGUUUUCGGAUCGUAAAACUCUGUUGGUAGAGAAGAACGUUGGUGAGAGUGGAAAGCUCAUCAAGUGACGGUAACUACCCAGAAAGGGACGGCUAACUACGUGCCAGCCGCCGCGGUAA
rnacentral:rRNA from 1 species